GUACAGAUCCAGACUGAGUCCGGUUUCAGUGGGGGAACGACGGUCGUUCAGCAGAUGCGGGCCGUAUCUGUGUAACCGAAUGCGCGAAGUUUUCUGAAGUGAAGUGGAGGCGGCCCGCAGCGCGUUGAGUAAUACAACACCUGAGAGACAGCGCUUGAGGUAAUGACCAAUCAGAGUCCAGACAGACCUUCGAUGUUCCACAAGAGAGCCGGCAAAGGGUGAGUUUCUUUGUAGUAGUUGUUUUAUUUUUCUCUUUUUGUUAGGGCUAAUUGUGGCUUGUAGGUUUCUGGAGAAAUGCAAAUUCAAACAUUUUCACACUUUUGAGUAGUAUGCUUCUUAUGUGUGUACCCUAAACACUUAAAAAAAUACAUACAUAAUAUAUGGCAAUAUAUACAAACAUAUAGCAUUUUGGUAGUUUUAAAAACAUUUUAUUUUAGUUGCAUAUUUUUUUCUAAAUAUGGGGUGUGGUUUUUAAAAAGAUUUUAAAAGGUUGUAGUGCAACAUUACCUAAUUGUAACCAAAAUGCAACGUUGUCAAAAGUUGUAAAACUGUUUUUUGUUCGCUGGGGGGGAAUGAGUUAAAAACCACAUUGAGUUUAUUGUUUCCAUAAGUGUGCUGUGCGCGCGAGCUCUUUCUUUUUCUUUGGUUUUAAUGGGAUCCUGAAUUCAUAGAGCUGCACUACUGCCAUCUUCUGGUGGAAAUGAACUCCUCCGGAUUCUUCUUCCUCGUUUUUUGGCGCAUUACAGUCUUUGUGUAUAACGCCCCCUACUGUUCGUGGCUGUUGUGCAGUCGUGGGCUGUUUCCAGAAAGGUUAACUUACCGUCAGCUAAACCCUGAACUCUCGGUUGAUGAACACAAACCUCGCUUACAAAACACCGGAGAAGAGUUAGUUUACUCAAACUCCAGAGUUAACGCGCCCACAAUAACAACAUGAACACAUUGUCAAUGGAUCAGAGUUCACGAGUCACCAUGGAAACGGCCGGUAAGCUUAAAGUUUUUGAGUGUAAAACAACUUUAUAAAUCAAGCGGUUGUUUUCACAGAAGACUUAAAUCUGC